rnacentral:rRNA from 1 species
GGGUGUUUAACUGGCGUGAUGUGGGACGUCCUACCGGUGGGCUUAGCCUCGCGAGGGGCGGCCCAACUAAUAUCCCGUCGCGGUGCUCUUUACUGAGUGUCGAGUCGGGCCGGUACGUUUACUUUGAACAAAUUAGAGUGCUUAAAGCAGGCUAUCCUCGCCUGAAUACUGCGUGCAUGGAAUAAUGGAAUAGGACCUCGGUUCUAUUUUGUUGGUUUUCGGAACCCCCGAGGUAAUGAUUAAUAGGGACAGAUGGGGGCAUUCGUAUUGCGACGUUAGAGGUGAAAUUCUUGGAUCGUCGCAAGACGGACAGAAGCGAAAGCAUUUGCCAAAAAUGUUUUCAUUAAUCAAGAACGAAAGUUAGAGGUUCGAAGGCGAUCAGAUACCGCCCUAGUUCUAACCAUAAACGAUGCCAGCUAGCGAUCCGCCGAAGUUCCUCCGAUGACUCGGCGGGCAGCUUCCGGGAAACCAAAGCUUUUGGGUUCCGGGGGAAGUAUGGUUGCAAAGCUGAAACUUAAAGGAAUUGACGGAAGGGCACCACCAGGAGUGGAGCCUGCGGCUUAAUUUGACUCAACACGGGAAACCUCACCAGGCCCAGACACCGGAAGGAUUGACAGAUUGAUAGCUCUUUCUUGAUUCGGUGGGUGGUGGUGCAUGGCCGUUCUUAGUUGGUGGAGCGAUUUGUCUGGUUAAUUCCGAUAACGAACGAGACUCUAGCCUGCUAAAUAGGCGUACCUUAUGGUAUCGCGAAGCCCCCCGGCUUCGGCCGGUGGGUUUUUACUACCAACGUACAAACAAAUUUUCUUAGAGGGACAGGCGG